rnacentral:misc_RNA from 1 species
GAUGAAGAACGUAGCGAAAUGCGAUACGUAGUGUGAAUUGCAGAAUUCAGUGAAUCAUCGAAUCUUUGAACGCACAUUGCACCUCUCGGUAUUCCGGGAGGUAUGCCUGUUCGAGCGUCAUUUGUACCCUCAAGCUCUGCUUGGUGUUGGGUGUUUGUUCCGCCUCUGUGUGUGAACUCGCCUCAAAACAAUUGGCAGCCGGCGUACUUGUUUCGGAGCGCAGCACAUUUUGCGAUCCAGAUCAACGUACAGCGGCAUCCAAGAAGCCUUAUUUAACGCUCUUGACCUCGGAUCAGGUAGGGAUACCCGCUGAACUUAAGCAUAUUCAAUAAGCGGAGGA